CGUGUCGCUGCCGCCUGUGACUCAGAGUUCAGGUUUCUCACUAUUUGUUCCUCUUUAAUUGUUUACCGUGUGGCGCUGAGACAACGGCAGCUGGACGACAGGAAGCAAGCCAAAUGCCACGUGUGAGGUAAUGACCCCGUGGCAGCGGCUCACAAGAACUGCUCCAGUCGAGCGCAAAUUUGCAGCAGCCCGAACUGGAUGCGGGAGAAAGGAGGAGGAAGUGUCCUUGCAGCUUGUCAAACUAAAAGAACGUGUCGACCGCUUCAGUAAAUCAGCGCAGCACCUCCAACGGGCUUCUUGCGUGCACUCUCCAGAACUUCCAUUGACAACUCGGGCUGAAGUCCGUCAUACAAAGGAACGAUGAAAAGUGCGAUACGGGAACCCCUCCGCAACUGCGUGAGCGCACCUGC